UCUCUAAUCUAAUCUUAAACUUGUUCCUUUGCUUUACUUAUAUCUUGCUUCCAAUUCCAACAUCCAUUGCAGUUUUCAGCUCUUAUCUUAGGUCUCUGUCUCUCUCACUCUCGAAUCCUCAAGUAUAUAGAAGUAGGAGGAGAUUAAACCUUUGAUGAUUGGUGAAACAGAAUCUACAGUCAAAGCACCCUCCGAGGUCCCCAAGCCAUAGUUAAUUGAAGCUACCACAACCAAGCCAGAGACUCAAACAAUUGUUACACAAGAAGGUUCAACGUAUUGUGACAGCUACGAUCUACAAGAAAAAAUGAGUCAGACAUGAAAUAUGAAAUGCGAUUGAGGUGAGAAUAUGUUGCAUUAUCUUUUAUGUUAUUUUAUUUUAAAAAUUAUAUGUUUACCUCUUGUAAGAUGAAAAUGUUUUAUACUUGAAUCUAUUUUAAUGUCAACAAACAUUUUAGGUGUGGUAAGCACUGUGGACGAGUCUCUCAACGUUAAUGUUUUUCUUUAUGAAUG